rnacentral:rRNA from 1 species
UACGGAGGGUGCGAGCGUUGUCCGGAAUCACUGGGCGUAAAGGGCGCGUAGGCGGGCUGCCGCGUCCGGGGUGAAAUCCCACGGCUCAACCGUGGAACGGCCCCGGGUACGGGCGGCCUCGAGGGGGGUAGGGGCGUGCGGAACUGUGGGUGGAGCGGUGAAAUGCGUUGAUAUCCACAGGAACUCCGGUGGCGAAGGCGGCACGCUGGACCCCCACUGACGCUGAGGCGCGAAAGCCAGGGGAGCGAACGGG